UGGCAUCUCUUUUUGGCUUGCUAUCAAGAAUUUCAAAAAUAGAAGCAGCUGAAUCCUUUGCUUUGUUGAGCUCUGAAGCCUUGCCGCUGGUUUGUGUUACUCCAAUUGCAGUCAUUGUAAGAGCAAAGAAAACCUGCAUGUAAACGGAACAAAUUUUCGUGAAAUAAAUAUAUGUACAUGCAAAAAACUUAUAUUUUUGUUUCAUGUUUACUUCUAAAAUAUAUAGUAAGCUGUUAGUUUAGUAAUACUAUUUAAUUAUUUACUUUGAAGAUUUCUGCAAAUGUAGCUUUCCCAUGCUGCUCAAGAACGGAUCCGAUGUAGAAACAGAAAGAAUUAACCAAGAAGAGUGCACAAGAACCGAAGCCAAAGCCAAUGCCGCUCAAAAUCCCAAGCCUAAUACCUGAUUUCAUAGGGCCAUCACAUUUCUUUUGGUACAUUUCCAUCACUUUCUCUUCUGCACAAAAUGAUGCAACUGUUCUUAUGCUGCCAACUGCAUCAUUUGCAACUUGACUAGCUUGUUCAUACAUCACCUGCAAAUUAGCAAAUACUAAUAACUUCAAAAAUUCUAAAUACCAAUACAGAAACAAUGAUUUUGAUACGUUUUCUUGCUUAAUUUAGGUAAUUUUACUUCCAUUUAGGUCACCUAUUUGUAAGGAAUUUUGAUUUAAAGAAGUUCAAGUUUGGUCAAGGUUAUUAAAAAAAAUAAAAAUCACAAGAGUUGCAUAUGAUUGCCUUUUGUUAUUCACCAUGCAACUCUAUAUUACACGGAUGCAACAUUUUCUAUAGCCUUGACAAAGCCCGACCACUUUUUCUGAACUUCGUGGAAACCAGAUCUAUUGAUAAGUGCUUGUAGUUAAGCAAAAUGACUAAUCUUUAAAUGGAAAAAUAAUCAAGGGACUUGGUGCACAAAUUGUGAAUUGGAUCUAAGAACCUUGGCAUCAGCACUAAACCCUUUAUGAAACUUCAUCUGAAUGACUCCUUCAAUGCCGACCAAGGGCAACACCACCAGGAUUAUGAUUGCCAGCAGCCAGUUAGCGGUGAAGGCUAUCACAAGGCCAGCUACUACUGUUGCAAUGUUUUGGACAACUAGCGCCAAUGCAUCACCCACAAGACUUCUUACUGUUGAAGCAUCCGUUGAUAACCUUGCACCAAUUGCACCACUACAUACAACAGAAAAAGUAUUUCCAAGGUUUAGGAAAUUUUAAAUUUCCAAAAAAAAAAGUAAAUAAAUAAGAUGCGAUAAUUGUACUUGAGCAUUAUUAUCCAAGGUAGACCCUAUGUCUCAGUGUGACAGCAUGCUAUAAUGGUACUUGAGCAUUAUUAUCCAAGGUAGACCCUAAGGCUCAGUGUGACCGUUUACACAAAGUAUAAUGCUACGUUUGGAUUGAAGUAAUGAAAGUAGGAAUGAAAUGACUCAUUCCUAUGAAAUAGAAAAAAAUUGUAUUUGGUUGCGAUUGGAAUGGAUUGAACCAUUCUUAUUUCGAAUUUAAUUCUUUGGGGGAGGGAGAGUAUGGAAUGAUUAAUUCCAACUAGAAUGAAUCAUUCCAUUCUCCAUUCCAUUUCUUUAAUCCAAACGUAGCAUAGGACUUUUGAGUUUUUUUUUGUUGUCAGAAAUUGCUGAAUUCCUGUUUGAUUUCUCUUUAUUGCAAUUUGAAAGAAGUAGGGAAUGCUUCUAUAUUUCUUUUUUUUUUCUAAAAUCUAACCAAUGUUGAUGGUCAUCAAAACUCAAAGCUAACAAACUGUACCUUGAAUUUGCAGGGUCAUCGAAAUAGCUGAUAUCCUGGUGCACAAUCUUCUGGAAUGACAAUGAACGUAUGCGUUGUAUCAAUUUCCCACCGGCUAUUCCAAAGAAGUAAUUCUGCACAGGUACGGCUACAAAAGUAACACAACCAAGUCCCAAAAACAUGAGUGCCCAAAACUUGGAAUCUUUUUUCAGCUCAUGUGGAGGUUCAUAGAAAAUUUUAAUGGCUGUUGAGAUUAAUAGUCCAAACAUAGGGAAAAUCACACCCUGAACACAAGCUGCAAGGGAUCCAAGCGCCAAAAUUGGGAGCUCUGGCUUGUUUAGUGCAGCUAGCCUUUUAAUGGAAACUUUCUUUCGCCUCCUCUCAAUAUCCUCAUCUGUAAGUUCAUUGUUAUUCUCUACAUCUCUUUCUAUAGCUUCAUGGAUAUUAGUGAAACCUGGAACAGAAGCAGCAAAGGAUGUUUGACUAGAUCCUCUGCUCGAUGAUCUCAUUGCUGAUAAUCCCCUGCUUGAAGACCUGCUGAUGCUUCUACUUAAACUACCCGGAUUCAUAUCUUCUUUUUCAAUGUCCACGUUGUUUGUUCUUUCUUCAGCUUGAUUAUUGUCGUUAUCAUUUCCACCUUGCAUUCGGACUAGCUGAGUGUAUGCCCCUUCCGGAUUCUGGAUUAGCUCAUCAUGAGUUCCUAAUUUAACAGUCAAAUUUUGAAAAGUUGAUAAAUAUUUGCACUAAAUAGUUACAUAUUAGCAAAACAUUACUAACAAUACAGUCGCGGGACAAAAUUGCAGGGGAAAAGCGCGAUGUAACUUUUUUUCUAUACAGUUGGUGUAGCAAGAAGUCGAGUAUAUUGCAAUACUUUGGCUGGUCAAUUUUACAGUUGGUGUGGCAAAAAGUUGAAUAUAUUGCAAUACUUUGGCUGGUCAAUUUUGUGUGAAAUAUAACGACAGUUGCAUUCGCACCGGAGAAAAU
rnacentral:lncRNA from 1 species